GCAGCAGACUAGGACUGGCCUGACUGCACCACUGGGACUGAGAGCAUACAAACAGGAACAGUUGAGGACAAAACUACAAUUACAACAAACCCUACACUGAACAGUAGGCUACAACAUAGAUAGUGUUGUGUCGUAAAUAAGACAACGUGGCCCCCCCGGACUUUCAAUGUAGCAACUGUUUGCUCGCAGAGGACUACAGAGCAGCUGGACGCCACUCUGACCUGAUGGGUGUGUUGCCGCCGUGUCGUCUCUCCAUAACCGACUGGCCGGUGCUCUGCAGGGAUCCCUCCCUGAAAAGAUCUCCCCCUUCCCUGGGAAAUUGAAUUAGUAGGAUGCUUCUGGAUGACUUAAUGGAUGUUCCUAUUUGUUACAGGCUUUGGUUUUUCCAUUUGUUGGUUUGAGUGAUGGGAAGGCCAAUGCAAUGAUACUGUAUGUUGCGUGGUUCUAGGUUAGAUAUUGUCCACCCUACCUCCUAACAGGCACACUGCAGGACAAAGUGGGAAACAUACUGUACAUUCAAAAUUCAACAUAUCACCUACCUCAGUCCAAAAUCUUUUG
rnacentral:lncRNA from 1 species